UGAAUUUCACAAUCUUGUGGGGAAGAUUGCAGAGAAACCAUGAUUACAAUAUAGUGUGAUAAGGGCUACAAUAGAGUCAAGUAAAAGGGGCUAUGUGGACACGCAAGAGGGCUAAGUUGUGGUGGCUGGGAGAUGGGGUUCUGAGGGGCAGCGUCCUUGACCUGAGUCUUGAAGGUUCAGUAGAGGUUUAGCCAGCUAGCUGAACAAACCAGAAGAAAGGGUAUUCCAGAUAGAGGACAGCAUGUUCACAGGCACAGAGAUGGGAGAGUUGUUCAGGGAAUUCAGGUAGUUAUGUGUUGCACAGAGAGGCAGAGAGGUGGAAGAUGGUGGUAGAUGCUGCUGGACAGAUGGGUCUUGACUGAACCAUAAAAGCUCAGUGUGCAAGGCGGCAGCCAUGGCGGGCCAAGAGGAUCCGGUGUGCGGGAGAUUCACCAGGACUGGGCGAACCGGAAGUACAUUGAGGUCAUCACCAGCAGCAUCAAGAAAAUGGAGGACUUUCUCAACUCGUUCCAUAUGUCUUGUCAUUCAAGACUUUCGACACUAAAGGAGAAAUUGACAGCCCUCAAACGGAGAAUAGAGUACAUUGAAGCACGGGUGACAAAAGUGAUUUUCCUUUACAUUACCAAAAUCAGUGGAACUGGGCAAUUGCAGCGGAUACAAGUAUUAACUCCUCUUGGUGCUGGAGACCUCCAAAUCUAACAGGAAAGAAAAGGAGUGGACAUCGAGGUAGACUGCUUCUGCCCAAGAUGAUGGAACAAGGCUUCAUGCUUUAAACAUGAAAGCCUUUCUCCUUCUUUUUCUUUCCUUUACUCUGGCAUUGGCCUAUAAAGAUAACACCCUCACCUUCUCUCCCAGGUCAUUACUAAUAGAUGCUGACUUUUAGAAUUUAGAAAAACCUAUUAUUUCAGGUUGGGAGAAAAAUCUAAUUGUGCCCCUAACUUUUCAAAAGCAAAAUAAGAGAUCUCAUUAGUCAACUCCCCUCCCUGAAUCUACACUGUUGAGCUAGAAAGGACCUAACAGGAGGUGUUCAUGAUUUAGGAUUCACUCCUUUGGCAAGUCCCUACAUCCCUGGUUAGGGAUAAAUAUAAUUAAGGCUAUAAUCAACAACAUCUCUUUAUGUCUUGAAAUUAUGGAAGAAUCUGCUGCUAAGGCAAGAAUAGUCUGAAAAAGAUCCUUAGACUCUCUGGCCAAACUUGUUCUGGGUAAUCAGAUAGCCCCUGAUUAUCCUUUAGCUGAGCAAGGAGAUGUCUCUACAACAACUAACACCUUUUACAGUACACGGAUAAAUACUUCACAACAUGUGGAAUUAGAAACCACUUAGCUACUUACAUUGUCCAGGACCCUACAGGGACAUUCAAAUUUUUCCCCAGGAUGGUUUAACUUUAUAUUUUAUGAUACUUUUAGUUGACUUCCUUUGGGGCUUGGAGCUCUUUUGUGUUUGGGUUUCUAAGUCAUAGUAUUAGUCAUUAUCCUAACGUGUAUCUUUAUUGUUACAUUUAAACUGUUUGUAAUAUAUAUUUCCCCA